rnacentral:tRNA from 1 species
GGAGGGGUGGCAUAGAGGCCCAUUGCACUUAAAGCGCAAGUUUUAAGUGUUCCGCUUAGCGGAACCGUAUGUUCGAAUCGUACCUCCUCCG